rnacentral:rRNA from 1 species
UUCCCAGACUCCUACGGGAGGCAGCAGUGGGGAAUAUUGGGCAAUGGGCGCAAGCCUGACCCAGCAACGCCGCGUGAAGGAAGAAGGCUUUCGGGUUGUAAACUUCUUUUGACAGGGAAGAGUAGAGGACGGUACCUGUCGAAUAAGCCACGGCUAACUACGUGCCAGCAGCCGCGGUAAUACGUAGGGGGCAAGCGUUAUCCGGAUUCACUGGGUGUAAAGGGAGCGUAGACGGCGACGCAAGUCUGGAGUGAAAGCCCGGGGCCCAACCCCGGGACUGCUCUGGAAACUGCGUCGCUGGAGUACGGGAGGGGCAGGCGGAAUUCCUGGUGUAGCGGUGAAAUGCGUAGAUAUCAGGAGGAACACCGGCGGCGAAGGCGGCCUGCUGGGCCGUGACUGACGUUGAGGCUCGAGAGCGUGGGGAGCAAACAGGAUUAGAUACCCCGGUA